GGCGCUGUGGCACAAUGGGUUAAUGCCCUGGCCUGAAGCGCCGGCAUCCCAUGUGGGCACUGGUUCAAGUCCCGGCUGCUCCA
rnacentral:tRNA from 1 species